ensembl:snRNA U6 U6 spliceosomal RNA
UUGCUUGUUUUGGCAGUAAAUAUACCAAAAUUGGAAUGAUAUAGAGAAGAUUAGCAUGACCCCUGUGCAAAAUGACAUGCAAAUUCGUGAAGAAUUCCAUAUUUUU